AUUGAACGCUGGCGGAAUGCUUUACACAUGCAAGUCGAACGGUAGAGGGGGCAACCCCUUGAGAGUGGCGAACGGGUGAGUAAUAUAUCGGAACGUGCCCAGUCGUGGGGAUAACGUAGCGAAAGUUACGCUAAUACCGCAUACGAUCUAAGGAUGAAAGCGGGGGGAUCGCAAGACCUCGCGCGAUUGGAGCGGCCGAUAUCAGAUUAGGUAGUUGGUGAGGUAAAGGCUCACCAAGCCAACGAUCUGUAGCUGGUCUGAGAGGACGACCAGCCACACUGGAACUGAGACACGGUCCAGACUCCUACGGGAGGCAGCAGUGGGGAAUAUUGGACAAUGGGCGAAAGCCUGAUCCAGCAAUGCCGCGUGAGUGAUGAAGGCCUUAGGGUUGUAAAGCUCUUUUACCAGGGAUGAUAAUGACAGUACCUGGAGAAUAAGCUCCGGCUAACUCCGUGCCAGCAGCCGCGGUAAAGUGACUACU
rnacentral:rRNA from 1 species